rnacentral:rRNA from 1 species
GAUGAACGCUGGCGGCGUGCCUAAUACAUGCAAGUCGAGCGAACAGACGAGGAGCUUGCUCCUCUGACGUUAGCGGCGGACGGGUGAGUAACACGUGGAUAACCUACCUAUAAGACUGGGAUAACUUCGGGAAACCGGAGCUAAUACCGGAUAAUAUAUUGAACCGCAUGGUUCAAUAGUGAAAGACGGUUUUGCUGUCACUUAUAGAUGGAUCCGCGCCGCAUUAGCUAGUUGGUAAGGUAACGGCUUACCAAGGCGACGAUGCGUAGCCGACCUGAGAGGGUGAUCGGCCACACUGGAACUGAGACACGGUCCAGACUCCUACGGGAGGCAGCAGUAGGGAAUCUUCCGCAAUGGGGGAAAGCUUGACGGAGCAACGCCGCGUGAGUGAUGAAGGUCUUCGGAUCGUAAAACUCUGUUAUUAGGGAAGAACAAAUGUGUAAGUAACUAUGCACGUCUUGACGGUACCUAAUCAGAAAGCCACGGCUAACUACGUG